AUUGAACGCUGGCGGCAUGCUUUACACAUGCAAGUCGAACGGUAACAGGCCGCAAGGUGCUGACGAGUGGCGAACGGGUGAGUAAUGCAUCGGAACGUGCCCGAUCGUGGGGGAUAACGCAGCGAAAGCUGUGCUAAUACCGCAUACGAUCUACGGAUGAAAGCGGGGGACCCAGCAAUGGGCCUCGCGCGAUCGGAGCGGCCGAUGUCAGAUUAGGUAGUUGGUGGGGUAAAGGCUCACCAAGCCAACGAUCUGUAGCUGGUCUGAGAGGACGACCAGCCACACUGGAACUGAGACACGGUCCAGACUCCUACGGGAGGCAGCAGUGGGGAAUUUUGGACAAUGGGCGCAAGCCUGAUCCAGCAAUGCCGCGUGCAGGAAGAAGGCCUUCGGUUGUAAACUGCUUUUGUUACGGAACGAAAAGGACUCUGGUUAAUACCUAGGGCUGAUGACGGUACCGUAAGAAUAAGCACCGGCUAACUACGUG
rnacentral:rRNA from 1 species